GACGAACGCUGGCGGCGUGCUUAACACAUGCAAGUCGAACGGAAAGGCCCCUUUGGGGGUACUCGGGUGGCGAACGGGGGGGUAACACGUGAGUAACCUGCCCUUGACUGCUGGAUAACUUCAGGAAACUGGGGCGAAUACCGGAUAGGAAUCCUUUCUGCAUGGGGGGGGUUGGAAAGCUGCGGCGGUUUUGGGUGGUGUUGCGGCCGAUCAGCUUGUUGGUGGGGUAGUGGUUUAACAAGGCUGUGGCGGGUAGCCGGCCUGGGAGGGCGACCGGCAUCAGUGGGACUGGGACACGGCCCCGACUCCGACGGGUGGCAGAAGUGGGGAAGAUUGAUCAAGGGGCGGGAGCCUGAUGCAGAACCGCCGCGGGCGGGAGGACGGUCUUCGCGUUGUAAACCGAUUUCAGCAGGGGCCAAGCUUGUAGUGACGGUACCUGCAGAAGAAGCACCGGCUAACUCCGUG
rnacentral:rRNA from 1 species